AAGUCUACUUCUUUUGCAGGUGCCAUACAUACUCAGGUCUCUUCUGGUACCCUCAUCACAUUGCCUCAUCAUUUCCAAUACCGUAUUUGCCUCAUUCUUUCAUGAUACAACAGCGGCACAUCAGGAGAUCGGUUGCGUUUUGAAGAGCCUCCUGGCUUGUCCACAGGAGUGUUUGACUGCCAGUUUCUCUGCCAGGCCUUCUGUGAGGUGCUGAUGUGAUACCGUGAUACCACAUAAGCCAUGUUGGUUCCAGGUGGGAAAAAAUUAUUCUUCAAUAUUCGUAAGAAUGAGCUUGGAUAAAAGACACAAAUGAAGUCCAGACCAAGUACAAAACCACGGGCUCCUUCUCCUGGCUGCUCGGCGAACGCAGUCUUGUCUGAGAGGUGAUGGCUAUCUCCACAGCCAGCCACCGCUCAGACUUCGAAUUACAGUAAUUAUGACAAUUUGUGCCAAUAGCCAUGAGGUAGGAUUUUUGAUGUGGUUAAAAAUAACAUCUGUAAAACCCAAUAAAAAUUACAUUCUGCUAAUUUUCUGAUAAGA